GAUGAACGCUAGCGGCAGGCUUAACACAUGCAAGUCGUGGGGCAGCGCGAGGUAGCAAUACUUUGGCGGCGACCGGCAAACGGGUGCGGAACACGUACGCAACCUUCCUCAAAGCGGGGGAUAGCCUCUCGAAAGAGAGAUUAAUACCCCAUAGUAUCGUCAGAUGGCAUCUGAAGACGAUUAAAGCUCCGGCACUUUGAGAUGGGCGUGCGGCUGAUUAGGUAGUUGGUAGGGUAACGGCCUACCAAGCCGACGAUCAGUAGCUGAUGUGAGAGCAUGAUCAGCCACACGGGCACUGGGACACGGGCCCGACUCCUACGGGAGGCAGCAGUGAGGAAUAUUGGUCAAUGGAGGCAACUCUGAACCAGCCAUGCCGCGUGAAGGAUGAAGGUCCUCUGGAUUGUAAACUCCUUUUAUAGAAGAAGAAACCCCAUUUUUCUAAGUGGGUUGACGGUACUCUAUGAAUAAGCACCGGCUAACUCCGUGCCAGCCGCCGCGGUAACAC
rnacentral:rRNA from 1 species